rnacentral:rRNA from 1 species
UGACUGCUAAUACCGCAUAACCGCUAGGGUCGCAUGACCCAGACGGAAAAGAUUUAGUCGGUGUAAGAUGGACCCGCGUCUGAUUAGCUAGUUGGUGAGGUAACGGCCCACCAAGGCGACGAUCAGUAGCCGGCCUGAGAGGGUGAACGGCCACAUUGGGACUGAGACACGGCCCAAACUCCUACGGGAGGCAGCAGUGGGGAAUAUUGCACAAUGGGGGAAACCCUGAUGCAGCGACGCCGCGUGAGUGAAGAAGUAUUUCGGUAUGUAAAGCUCUAUCAGCAGGGAAGAAAAUGACGGUACCUGACUAAGAAGCCCCGGCUAACUACGUG